AGUGAACGCUGGCGGUAGGCCUAACACAUGCAAGUCGAACGGCAGCACAGUAAGAGCUUGCUCUUACGGGUGGCGAGUGGCGGACGGGUGAGGAAUACAUCGGAAUCUACUUUUUCGUGGGGGAUAACGUAGGGAAACUUACGCUAAUACCGCAUACGACCUACGGGUGAAAGUAGGGGAUCUUCGGACCUUGCGCGAUUGAAUGAGCCGAUGUCGGAUUAGCUAGUUGGCGGGGUAAAGGCCCACCAAGGCGACGAUCCGUAGCUGGUCUGAGAGGAUGAUCAGCCACACUGGAACUGAGACACGGUCCAGACUCCGACGGGAGGCAGCAGUGGGGAAUAUUGGACAAUGGGCGCAAGCCUGAUCCAGCCAUACCGCGUGGGUGAAGAAGGCCUUCGGGUUGUAAAGCCCUUUUGUUGGGAAAGAAAAGCAGCAGGUUAAUACCCCGCUGUUCGGACGGUACCCAAAGAAUAAGCACCGGCUAACUUCGU
rnacentral:rRNA from 1 species